rnacentral:misc_RNA from 1 species
UACGGAAGGGGCAAGCGUUGUUCGGAUUUACUGGGCGUAAAGGGCGUGUAGGUGGCUUAAUAAGUCAGGCGUGAAAUCCCCCGGCUCAACCGGGGAACUGCGCUUGAAACUGUUGAGCUAGAGUGUAGGAGAGGAAGGCGGAAUUCCUGGUGUAGCGGUGAAAUGCGUAGAUAUCAGGAGGAACACCGAUGGCGAAGGCAGCCUUCUGGCUUAACACUGACACUGAGGCGCGAAGGCUAGGGGAGCGAACAGG